rnacentral:rRNA from 1 species
GGCCUAACACAUGCAAGUCGAGCGGAAACGACACUAACAAUCCUUCGGGUGCGUUAAUGGGCGUCGAGCGGCGGACGGGUGAGUAAUGCCUAGGAAAUUGCCUUGAUGUGGGGGAUAACCAUUGGAAACGAUGGCUAAUACCGCAUAAUGCCUACGGGCCAAAGAGGGGGACCUUCGGGCCUCUCGCGUCAAGAUAUGCCUAGGUGGGAUUAGCUAGUUGGUGAGGUAAUGGCUCACCAAGGCGACGAUCCCUAGCUGGUCUGAGAGGAUGAUCAGCCACACUGGAACUGAGACACGGUCCAGACUCCUACGGGAGGCAGCAGUGGGGAAUAUUGCACAAUGGGCGAAAGCCUGAUGCAGCCAUGCCGCGUGUAUGAAGAAGGCCUUCGGGUUGUAAAGUACUUUCAGUUGUGAGGAAGGGGGUAGCGUUAAUAGCGCUAUCUCUUGACGUUAGCAACAGAAGAAGCACCGGCUAACUCCGUGCCAGCAGCCGCGGUAAUACGGAGGGUGCGAGCGUUAAUCGGAAUUACUGGGCGUAAAGCGCAUGCAGGUGGUUCAUUAAGUCAGAUGUGAAAGCCCGGGGCUCAACCUCGGAACUGCAUUUGAAACUGGUGAACUAGAGUACUGGAGAGGGGGGUAGAAUUUCAGGUGUAGCGGUGAAAUGCGUAGAGAUCUGAAGGAAUACCA